GAUGAACGCUAGCGGCAGGCUUAAUACAUGCAAGUCGAGGGGCAACAGGUCCGCCGAAAGGCGGAUGCUGGCGACCGGCAAACGGGUGCGGAACACGUACAGAACUUUCCUUUAAGCGGGGGAUAGCCCAUAGAAAUGUGGAUUAAUACCCCAUAGUAAUGCUGGUUGGCAUCAACUGGUAUUUAAAGAUUUAUCACUUAAAGAUGGCUGUGCGGCUGAUUAGGUAGUUGGUCGGGGUAACGGCCCACCAAGCCAUCGAUCAGUAACUGGUGUGAGAGCACGACCAGUCACACGGGCACUGAGACACGGGCCCGACUCCUACGGGAGGCAGCAGUAAGGAAUAUUGGUCAAUGGACGCAAGUCUGAACCAGCCAUGCCGCGUGAAGGAUGAAGGCCCUCUGGGUUGUUAAACUUCUUUUAUCUGGGAAGAAACCACUUCUUUAUAGAGGUGUUGACGGUACCAGAGGAAUAAGCACCGGCUAACUCCGUGCCAGCA
rnacentral:rRNA from 1 species